rnacentral:rRNA from 1 species
UACAGAGGUGGCAAGCGUUGUUCGGAAUUACUGGGCGUAAAGGGCGCGUAGGCGGCCUUCUAAGUCAGACGUGAAAUCCCCCGGCUUAACCUGGGAACUGCGUCUGAUACUGGGAGGCUUGAGUAUGGGAGAGGGAUGUAGAAUUCCAGGUGUAGCGGUGAAAUGCGUAGAUAUCGGGAGGAACACCGGUGGCGAAGGCGGCGACCUGGGUCGACACUGACGCUGAGGCGCGAAAGCGUGGGGAGCAAACAGG